AGCAACAGGCAGGCUUAUGAACUAAACACACACCUGAUUUGGUUAUCUAGCUUGGGAGAAACUUCUGCCAUCCAGUUGGGUAAACGAAUGAGCUUUUGAGAGGAUGAACUAGUAUGUGAACAGAAGUGAACGCAAGCAGCCUUGGCUUCUGCAGACCACCACCAACUAGGGCUGCCAGGCAGUGAUGGUGACUACUCUCAACAGACUACAAAAACCACAGUGAAUGUCAAAUUCCUUCCAAAGGAAAGGAUUGAUUCUGUUAUUGAGGUAGGGAGACAUAAGCAGUUCUGAUGUGAGAAAAGGGAAGAGGCUAAAGAGGAAAGUGAUACACAAUGAAAGAAGGACCCAACCCUGCCCCUUGUCUUUGAAGAGGAUGGAAGGGGCCAUGAACCAGGAAUAAUCCACAAUUCUAGCAUUUGAAAUCUCGAUAUUUUCCUAUGUGACCCCUUUACAAAAAUCUUCAGGGGUACACACCAAGCACAGGGAGGUUGUGAUAAAGAGAGCUAAGUCAUGGGCCUUGUGGCAAGAAGAUCUGCUGCUCCGAUGGGAACCCCCUGGCCCCACCAUGCAGGAGGCAGGUUAUCACCUUAUAUUCAGUCUUUGCAUUAGAAAAUGAAGCAGCAUUGUUCACUAUGAGCAGGAACAACAGCUGCAGUGGAGUCUGGACACAGGGACAGAAAUGCC
rnacentral:lncRNA from 1 species